UGGCAUGUAGCUCAGCUGGUAGAGCAGUCGGCUGUUAACCGUCAGGUCGUGGGUUCGAGUCCCACCUUGCCAGCCA
rnacentral:tRNA from 1 species